rnacentral:rRNA from 1 species
AGGGCACCACCAGGAGUGGAGCCUGCGGCUUAAUUUGACUCAACACGGGAAAACUCACCCGGCCCGGACACUGGAAGGAUUGACAGAUUGAGAGCUCUUUCUUGAUUCAGUGGGUGGUGGUGCAUGGCCGUUCUUAGUUGGUGGAGUGAUUUGUCUGGUUAAUUCCGAUAACGAACGAGACUCUAGCCUAUUAAAUAGAUCGUUGGCUUACAAACGCCGGCGAGACUUCUUAGAGGGACAGGCGGCGAUUCAGCCGCACGAAACAGAGCAAUAACAGGUCUGUGAUGCCUUUAGAUGUCCGGGGCCGCACGCGCGCUACACUGAAGUGAUCAGCGUGCAUUUUGAAACCUACUCUGUCAAGAGUGGGGAACCCAAUGAACCUUCUUCGUGAUUGGGAUAGGGGAUUGUAAUUAUUCCCCUUGAACGAGGAAUUCCCAGUAAGCGCGAAUCAUAAGUUUGCGCUGAUUACGUCCCUGCCCUUUGUACACGCCGCCCGUCGCUACUACCGAUUGAAUGUUU